UACGGGGGGAGCAAGCGUUGUUCGGAUUUACUGGGCGUAAAGGGCGCGUAGGCGGCGCAACAAGUCACUUGUGAAAUCUCCGGGCUUAACUCGGAAAGGUCAAGUGAUACUGUCGGACUAGAGUACAGAAGGGGCAACUGGAAUUCUCGGUGUAGCGGUGAAAUGCGUAGAUAUCGAGAGGAACACCUGCGGCGAAGGCGGGUUGCUGGGCUGAUACUGACGCUGAGGCGCGAAAGCUAGGGGAGCGAACGGG
rnacentral:rRNA from 1 species